CUGCCGGAAGAAAACCCUGUUUUGCAGGGCGUGACGGUACGGCAGGAAUAAGCACCGGCUAACUCCGUGCCAGCAGCCGCGGUAAUACGGAGGGUGCAAGCGUUGUCCGGAAUCACUGGGCGUAAAGGGUGUGCAGGUGGGACCGCAAGUCAGGGGUGAAAGCCCACAGCUUAACUGUGGAAGUGCCCUUGAAACUGCUGUUCUUGAGUCCUGGAGAGGUUGCCGGAAUUCGUGGUGUAGCGGUGAAAUGCGUAGAUAUCACGAGGAACACCAGAGGCGUAAGCGGGCAACUGGACAGGUACUGACACUGAGGCACGAGAGCGUGGGGAGCAAACAGGAUUAGAUACCCUGGUAGUCCACGCCGUAAACGAUAAAUGCUCGCCGUUGUCCUGUUAGGGGACAGUGGCUAAGCUAACGCGUAAGCAUCCG
rnacentral:rRNA from 1 species